GUGAGACUACUCUGGUCCCGGUGAAUGUUCGGAGCGCUAUAGCUAUUCGUUAACACAUAAAGCUUAGUUCCAUUGCAUGCAUGUCUGACCAAGAACCACUGCCGUUUUCGACUGUACUUGUCAUAGCAUACGUUGCACUAUUAUUGUAUAGAUGCAGUAAGCGGUCAAUAUAAGUUCCGUUUAUGUAGUACGCCAGUACGUUUACACUGUAUUAAAAGCGUUGCAAUUUACCGUUGCACGUUGCAAGUAUACGUUUUGCAAAAAAACAAACAAAGAGACAAUCCUAGUCACCUCGAGUAUCGUAGCUAGACUAUAGUUACUUAGCUAUAUGCUAUACAUACUUGAUGCUAUGUUUCAAUAUAUAUUGUACAUUGUACAUUUAUAUUAUUGUACAUACUAGAUCUACUGCUUAUCACGUGUACAUUAUAGUUGUGAGACGCCAACUGCCAAGAGGGAAACCACGCCAUUCGCAAAAAUACGCCUAAUUCCCUCUCACAUCUAAAGUUCUUUCAAAAUGGUGGUCGUACUUUUUUGAAGGAUGAUGUUGAAAGUGACACGUGUUGGAGAGAGCAUUAUACUGGACACCCUUGUAUGACCAGACCACUGUAAAGUAUUGACACAAUUGGAGGUGAUGCUGAGAAGUCAAAGGCAGUAUCUUACAAUUGCAGUGAACUGAGGCAGACUUGCUAUGGUUAACUAACUAUGUUUAAAAAAACCUUCACUUUUAUAUCCUCAU